UUAUCUUAGUGGCGGACGGGUGAGUAACGCGUGAGUAACCUGCCUUUCAGAGGGGGAUAACGUCUGGAAACGGACGCUAAUACCGCAUGAGACCACAGCUUCACAUGGAGCGGCGGUCAAAGGAGCAAUCCGCUGAAAGAUGGACUCGCGUCCGAUUAGAUAGUUGGCGGGGUAACGGCCCACCAAGUCGACGAUCGGUAGCCGGACUGAGAGGUUGAACGGCCACAUUGGGACUGAGACACGGCCCAGACUCCUACGGGAGGCAGCAGUGAGGGAUAUUUGUCAAUGGGGGAAACCCUGAACCAGCAACGCCGCGUGAGGGAAGACGGUUUUCGGAUUGUAAACCUCUGUCCUCUGUGAAGAUAGUGACGGUAGCAGAAGAGGAAGCUCCGGCUAACUACGUGCCAGCAGCCGCGGUAAUACGUAGGGAGCGAGCGUUGUCCGGAUUUACUGGGUGUAAAGGGUGCGUAGGCGGCUCUGCAAGUCAGAAGUGAAAUCCAUGGGCUUAACCCAUGAACUGCUUUUGAAACUGUAGAGCUUGAGUGAAGUAGAGGUAGGCGGAAUUCCCGGUGUAGCGGUGAAAUGCGUAGAGAUCGGGAGGAACACCAGUGGCGAAGGCGGCCUACUGUGCUUUAACUGACGCUGAGGCUCGAAAGCGUGGGGAGCAAACAAGAUUAGAUACCCUGGUAGUCCACGCUGUAAACGACGCUUUAUAGGUGUGGGGGGUCUGACCCCCUCCGUGCCGGAGUUAACACAAUAAGUAAUCCACCUGGGGAGUACGACCGCAAGGUUGAAACUCAAAGGAAUUGACGGGGGCCCGCACAAGCAGUGGAGUAUGUGGAUUAAUUCGAAGCAACGCGAAGAACCUUACCAGGUCUUGACAUCCGACUAACGAAGCAGAGAUGCAUUAGGUGCCCUUCGGGGAAAGUUGAGACAGGUGGUGCAUGGUUGUCGUCAGCUCGUGUCGUGAGAUGUUGGGUUAAGUCCCGCAACGAGCGCAACCCUUAUGGUCAGUUACUACGCAAGAGGACUCUGGCCAGACUGCCGUUGACAAAACGGAGGAAGGUGGGGAUGACGUCAAAUCAUCAUGCCCUUUACGACUUGGGCUACACACGUACUACAAUGGCGUUAAACAAAGAGAAGCAAGACCGCGAGGUGGAGCAAAACUCAGAAACAACGUCCCAGUUCGGACUGCAGGCUGCAACUCGCCAGCACGAAGUCGGAAUUGCUAGUAAUCGUGGAUCAGCAUGCCACGGUGAAUACGUUCCCGGGCCUUGCACACACCGCCCGUCA
rnacentral:rRNA from 1 species